UACGUAGGGUGCGAGCGUUAAUCGGAAUUACUGGGCGUAAAGCGUGCGCAGGCGGUUCGUUAAGUCAGCUGUGAAAGCCCCGGGCUUAACCUGGGAAUGGCGGUUGAAACUGGCGAACGUGAAUCUGGCAGAGGGGGGUGGAAUUCCACGUGUAGCAGUGAAAUGCGUAGAGAUGUGGAGGAACACCGAUGGCGAAGGCAGCCCCCUGGGCUGAGAUUGACGCUCAGGCACGAAAGCGUGGGGAGCAAACAGG
rnacentral:rRNA from 1 species